GAAUUCGAUUCAGGCCUAACACAUGCAAGUCGAGCGGUAGAGAUUCUUCGGAAUCUUGAGAGCGGCGUACGGGUGCGGAACACGUGUGCAACCUACCUUUAUCUGGGGGAUAGCCUUUCGAAAGGAAGAUUAAUACCCCAUAAUAUAUUGAUUGGCAUCAAUCGAUAUUGAAAACUCCGGUGGAUAGAGAUGGGCACGCGCAAGAUUAGCUAGUUGGUGAGGUAACGGCUCACCAAGGCAAUGAUCUUUAGGGGGCCUGAGAGGGUGAUCCCCCACACUGGUACUGAGACACGGACCAGACUCCUACGGGAGGCAGCAGUGAGGAAUAUUGGACAAUGGGUGCAAGCCUGAUCCAGCCAUCCCGCGUGAAGGACGACUGCCCUAUGGGUUGUAAAGUUCUUUGUACAGGGAUAAACCUACCCUCGUGAGGGUAGCUGAA
rnacentral:rRNA from 1 species